rnacentral:rRNA from 1 species
UACGUAGGGGGCAAGCGUUAUCCGGAUUUACUGGGUGUAAAGGGAGUGUAGGCGGCGGAGCAAGUCAGAAGUGAAAGCCCGGGGCUCAACCCCGGGACGGCUUUUGAAACUGCCCUGCUUGAUUUCAGGAGAGGUAAGCGGAAUUCCUAGUGUAGCGGUGAAAUGCGUAGAUAUUAGGAGGAACACCAGUGGCGAAGGCGGCUUACUGGACUGACAAUGACGCUGAGGCUCGAAAGCGUGGGGAGCAAACAGG